GACAGAGGUGCCGAGCGUUAGGCGGAAUCACUGGGCUUAAAGCGUGUGUAGGCGGCCCGUUAAGUGCCUCGUGAAAUCCCCCGGCUCAACCGGGGAACCGCGGGGCAUACUGGCGGGCUUGGGUCGCUCAGGGGCAAGCGGAACAGGCGGUGGAGCGGUGAAAUGCGUAGAUAUCGGAAGGAACGCCGGUGGCGAAAGCGACGUGCUGGACCCUUUCUGACGCUGAGGCGCGAAAGCCAGGGGAGCAAACGGG
rnacentral:rRNA from 1 species